rnacentral:ncRNA from 1 species
CUAGCCAAUGGCAGCUUUUUAAUCUAUCGAUGUUGGCUCCUCUUCCUAUCAUUGUGAAGCAGAGUUCACCUAGAGUUUGAUUCUUCAUCCUCUAAUAGGGUACGUGAGCUGGGUUUGGACCAUCGUGAGACAAGUU